GCCUAAAGCGUCCGUAGCCGGCUCUGUUAGUUUUCGGUUAAAUCCAUAUGCUCAACAUAUGGGCCGCCGGGAAUACUACAAAGCUAGGGAGUGGGAGAGGUAGACGGUACUCCGUAGGAAGGGGUAAAAUCCUUUGAUCUAUGGAUGACCACCAGUGGCGAAGGCGGUCUACCAGAACACGUUCGACGGUGAGGGAUGAAAGCUGGGGGAGCAAACCGGAUUAGAUACCCGGGUAGUCCCAGCUGUAAACUAUGCAAACUCAGUGAUGCAUUGGCUUGUGGCCAGUGCAGUGCCGCAGAGAAGUCGUUAAGUUUGCCGCCUGGGAAGUACGUACGCAAGUAUGAAACUUAAAGGAAUUGGCGGGGGAGCACCACAAGGGGUGAAGCCUGCGGUUCAAUUGGAGUCAACGCCAGAAAUCUUACCCGGAGAGACAGCAGAAUGAAGGUCAAGCUGAAGACUUUACCAGACAAGCUGAGAAGUGGUGCAUGGCCGUCGCCAGCUCGUGCCGUGAGGUGUCCUGUUAAGUCAGGUAACGAGCGAGAUCCUUGCCUCUAGUUGCUACCAUUACUCUCAGGAGUAGUGGGGCGAAUUAGCGGGACUGCCGUAGUUAAUACGGAGGAAGGAGAGGGCCACGGCAGGUCAGUAUGCCCCGAA
rnacentral:rRNA from 1 species